GAUGAACGCUGGCGGCGUGCCUAACACAUGCAAGUCGAGCGGAGUUUAUGUAGCGGAAGUUUUCGGACGGAAAGUAUAUAAACUUAGCGGCGGACGGGUGAGUAACGCGUGGGCAACCAACCUUGAUCAGGGGGACAACAUUGGGAAACCAGUGCUAAUACCGCAUAUCUCUAUCUUGUGGCAUCAUGAGAUAGAGAAAGAUUUUAUCGGAUCAAGACGGGCCCGCGUCUGAUUAGCUAGUUGGUGGGGUAACGGCCCACCAAGGCGAUGAUCAGUAGCCGACCUGAGAGGGUGACCGGCCACACUGGAACUGAGACACGGUCCAGACUCCUACGGGAGGCAGCAGUGGGGAAUAUUGCACAAUGGGGGAAACCCUGAUGCAGCAACGCCGCGUGAGCGAUGAAGGCCUUCGGGUCGUAAAGCUCUGUCCUAUGGGAAGAAGAAGUGACGGUACCAUAGGAGGAAGCCCCGGCUAACUACGUG
rnacentral:rRNA from 1 species